AUUGAACGCUGGCGGCAUGCUUUACACAUGCAAGUCGAACGGCAGCACGAGUGCUUGCACUUGGUGGCGAGUGGCGAACGGGUGAGUAAUACAUCGGAACGUGUCCUAAAGUGGGGGAUAACGCAUCGAAAGAUGUGCUAAUACCGCAUAAUCUCUAAGGAGAAAAGUAGGGGAUCGAAAGACCUUAUGCUUUUGGAGCGGCCGAUGUCUGAUUAGCUAGUUGGUGGGGUAAUGGCCUACCAAGGCGACGAUCAGUAGCUGGUCUGAGAGGAUGGCCAGCCACACUGGGACUGAGACACGGCCCAGACUCCUACGGGAGGCAGCAGUGGGGAAUUUUGGACAAUGGGCGCAAGCCUGAUCCAGCAAUGCCGCGUGAGUG
rnacentral:rRNA from 1 species